rnacentral:rRNA from 1 species
AUUGAACGCUGGCGGCAGGCCUAACACAUGCAAGUCGAACGGUAACAGGAAGCAUCUUGCUGCUUUGCUGACGAGUGGCGGACGGGUGAGUAAUGUCUGGGAAACUGCCCGAUGGAGGGGGGUAACUACUGGAAACGGUACCUAAUACCGCAUAACGUCGCAAGACCAAAGAGGGGGACCUUAGGGCCUCUUGCCAUCGGAUGUGCCCAGAUGGGAUUAGCUAGUAGUUGGGGUAACGGCUCACCUAGGCGACGAUCCCUAGCUGGUCUGAGAGGAUGACCAGCCACACUGGAACUGAGACACGGUCCAGACUCCUACGGGAGGAAGCAGUGGGGAAUAUUGCACAAUGGGCGAAAGCCUGAUGCAGGCAUGCCGCGUGUAUGAAGAAGGCCUUAGGGUUGUAAAGUACUUUCAGCGGGGAGGAAGGGAGUAAAGUUAAUACCUGUGCUCAUUGACGUUACCAGCAGAAGAAGCACCGGCUAACUCCGUG